rnacentral:rRNA from 1 species
UACGAAGGGGGCUAGCGUUGCUCGGAAUUACUGGGCGUAAAGCGCACGUAGGCGGCUUUCUAAGUCGGGGGUGAAAUCCUGGAGCUCAACUCCAGAACUGCCUUCGAUACUGGAAAGCUCGAGUCCGGGAGAGGUGAGUGGAACUGCGAGUGUAGAGGUGAAAUUCGUAGAUAUUCGCAAGAACACCAGUGGCGAAGGCAGCUCACUGGCCCGGUACUGACGCUGAGGUGCGAAAGCGUGGGGAGCAAACAGG